rnacentral:rRNA from 1 species
GGGAUCAGUGGCGAACGGGUGAGUAACACGCUGAGCAACCUGCCCCUGACUCUGGGAUAAGCGCUGGAAACGGCGUCUAAUACUGGAUAUGUGACGUGACCGCAUGGUCUGCGUUUGGAAAGAUUUUUCGGUUGGGGAUGGGCUCGCGGCCUAUCAGCUUGUUGGUGAGGUAAUGGCUCACCAAGGCGUCGACGGGUAGCCGGCCUGAGAGGGUGACCGGCCACACUGGGACUGAGACACGGCCCAGACUCCUACGGGAGGCAGCAGUGGGGAAUAUUGCACAAUGGGCGGAAGCCUGAUGCAGCAACGCCGCGUGAGGGAUGACGGCCUUCGGGUUGUAAACCUCUUUUAGCAGGGAAGAAGCGAAAGUGACGGUACCUGCAGAAAAAGCGCCGGCUAACUACGUGCCAGCAGCCGCGGUAAUACGUAGGGCGCAAGCGUUAUCCGGAAUUAUUGGGCGUAAAGAGCUCGUAGGCGGUUUGUCGCGUCUGCUGUGAAAUCCCGAGGCUCAACCUCGGGCCUGCAGUGGGUACGGGCAGACUAGAGUGCGGUAGGGGAGAUUGGAAUUCCUGGUGUAGCGGUGGAAUGCGCAGAUAUCAGGAGGAACACCGAUGGCGAAGGCAGAUCUCUGGGCCGUAACUGACGCUGAGGAGCGAAAGGGUGGGGAGCAAACAGGCUUAGAUACCCUGGUAGUCCACCCCGUAAACGUUGGGAACUAGUUGUGGGGUCCAUUCCACGGAUUCCGUGACGCAGCUAACGCAUUAAGUUCCCCGCCUGGGGAGUACGGCCGCAAGGCUAAAACUCAAAGGAAUUGACGGGGACCCGCACAAGCGGCGGAGCAUGCGGAUUAAUUCGAUGCAACGCGAAGAACCUUACCAAGGCUUGACAUAUACGAGAACGGGCCAGAAAUGGUCAACUCUUUGGACACUCGUAAACAGGUGGUGCAUGGUUGUCGUCAGCUCGUGUCGUGAGAUGUUGGGUUAAGUCCCGCAACGAGCGCAACCCUCGUUCUAUGUUGCCAGCACGUAAUGGUGGGAACUCAUGGGAUACUGCCGGGGUCAACUCGGAGGAAGGUGGGGAUGACGUCAAAUCAUCAUGCCCCUUAUGUCUUGGGCUUCACGCAUGCUACAAUGGCCGGUACAAAGGGCUGCAAUACCGUGAGGUGGAGCGAAUCCCAAAAAGCCGGUCCCAGUUCGGAUUGAGGUCUGCAACUCGACCUCAUGAAGUCGGAGUCGCUAGUAAUCGCAGAUCAGCAACGCUGCGGUGAAUACGUUCCCGGGUCUUGUACACACCGCC